CUGGAAGUGAUGGACAAGUUCAAGCUUGAUGCACAGUGAUAGCUUCAGUAUUCAUACUGUCUGAUCUAG